CUGGUUUGCGACCACAUGUAACUCUCCGCACACCGUAGAUCUCUGCAAUGCAGUCUGCAGAAGUGAUGAGGAGCUGUCGACGCAAGGAUGUUGCGCUUAUGGAUGUUUGUAGUAGCGGGCGAAGAACUGCGUGCGACGCGGCAUGUGCUGCUCACUGGACCUCGAUCGACAGGAAGGCCAUGAGCGACGCAAUUCCAGGUCGUUAGAUUGACAGAGGGCUCAUUUCCUGGCUCAGAAGGUCGCCAGAGAUGACGCAUUAAUUUUUCUUAGCCGUUUCGUGAAGGAUGCUGUCUAAAAGACUACGGCGCGGGACCUGCGGGCUUUCGCAUCGGAGCAGCAAAUGCACACGUUAAUUACAUGCUAGGUGCGAUGUGCGAGAAACUGAAGUAUUUCUUAGAUAUCAUGCAUGCUACAGAUAGUGCACACAUUGAGUUGUUAAACGGCUACGACUGCAGGUGGGUGUUUCAUUAAUGUGGCUGUUGCGUAGCAGUUGGUUUGUCCAGGAAAAUGGAGAUGUCACAGUGCAAGAGAAACCUCAAUGUGUGGUCUAGUGGUGCAUGAACUCCUGGUCGGCUCUAAACAGCACAAAGGAAAUUUCAAAUAACACAUAGAAAGACAUCAGUGAAGUCAGACUCUGAGUCCAAAGGAGAAAUGUUUGCAGUCCAGACAACUAUAAUCCAUUAUGAAAAUUUCAAUGAAUAAUAAUUUGUGAUGUCAUGAAAGACAACUGUAGUAUUUGAUGGGGAAAGCUAUUCAGCAUGGGCUGUUAUGUAAAUUUGGAUGUAUUAAGUAAUAUAAAUCAAAUUUUGCAGAAGUUUGAAAAUUUUUCUGUUAUGGAUAUUUCCUAUUUUAUUUUCUAACAGGUGAGCAAAGCAGUAUUAAAUACAGUAGUUCCAGCUUUUGCAGCAAGUUUGUGUUAUUUUGCUAAUGUUAAAUUUUGUUCAAAAAUGUGACACGCUGUAUUUUUAUGUUCAAAUAAAGAAAAUAAAUUAGA